CGCGUAGGUGGCCCGGCAAGCGUGCGGUGAAAGUUCGAGGCUCAACCUCGAAUCGGCCGUGCGAACUGCUGGGCUGGAGCACUGUAGAGGCAGAUGGAAUUCCGGGUGUAGCGGUGGAAUGCGUAGAGAUCCGGAAGAACACCGGUGGCGAAGGCGGUCUGCUGGGCAGUUGCUGACACUGAGGCGCGACAGCGUGGGGAGACAAACGA
rnacentral:rRNA from 1 species